GGACUACACGGGUAUCUAAUCCCAUUCGCUACCCACGCUUUCGUGUUUCAGUGUCAGGAGUGCGCCAGUCUGCUGCCUUCGCUUUUGGUAUUCCCCAUGAUAUCAACGGAUUUCACCCCUACACCAUGAGUUCUACAGACCUCUCGCAUCCUCUAGAUUUGCCGUUUCCCCUGCGUUUUCCCGGUUGAGCCGGAAAGCUUUCACAGAAGACUAACAAAACAACCUACACACCCUUUACGCCCAAUAAUUCCGGAUAACGCUUGGGGCACUCGUAUUACCGCGGCUGCUGGCAC
rnacentral:rRNA from 1 species